rnacentral:siRNA from 1 species
ACUCGUGCUGAUAACGUGUUAUAA